AACUUUCAGCAACGGAUCUCUUGGUUCUGGCAUCGAUGAAGAACGCAGCGAAAUGCGUUAAGUAAUGUGAAUUGCAGAAUUCAGUGAAUCAUCGAAUCUUUGAACGCACAUUGCGCCCCUUGGUAUUCCGGGGGGCAUGCCUGUUCGAGCGUCAUUACAACCCUCAAGCCUAGCUUGGUAUUGGGCUUCGCCGUUCACCCGGCGGGCCUUAAAAUCAGUGGCGGUGCCGUCGUGGCCCUGAGCGCAGUAAAUAUCCUCGCUAUAGGGACCCGGUGGUAGCUGGCCAGCAACCCCCAACUUUCUAAGUUUGACCUCGGAUCAGGUAGGGAUACCCGCUGAACUUAAGCAUAUCAAUAAGCGGAGGCU
rnacentral:misc_RNA from 1 species